ACGGCAACUUCCAAACUCUCCAUCACUGUCGGCUACUGCUGUUUCAACCUGUGCUGACAAAUGAAGCUCGUUAUCUUCAUUUUCCACAGCUGUGGGGCACCGAGCAGCGCCGGAGAGAAGUCAUGAAGUCAAACAGAGAGCAGAGACUCUGAACGGAGACGUGGGGAUGAAAAAUCCAAAACUCCUCUGCUGGACCACCGGCCGUCUUGGACCUCCUCCCUGGCUUUCUGCGCCUCAUUCCAGAGGUCUUCAUGUUGGACAGGAGGUCAUGUGACUCAGGUUACCUGACAACACCUGAAGCUUCUUCCUCCUUUCAAGUGUUAUCAUUUCUGACAUGAGGUAGAAAACAAAAUCCCUGUUUUUCUCAUGAAUUAUUUGCUUUUCUUUAGAUCUGCGUUGGAUUAAAGCGCUUUGUUUUUCACAGUACAGAACAGAAGCCGAUCUUGAUCUUUGCAUUAGGCUAAAUAAAAUCUCGCCUACAAUAAAAAAUGAUUGAAAUGAAGUUGGACAUGGGGACUUAUGGAGACUGACUCACUUCUGGAGCCAGCCUCAAGUCGACGUUAGAGGAACUGCAGGUUUUAGGCACUUCCACAUUGGCAGAGGUAUCCGUUUGUUCUACACUCAACUUUUUGACCAUUAUGAGUGAAGUUAAACUGUCUUCACCACAUGUUGGUUCAACAAGGUGGACGUCCUCUAAAUGUCCCACGCUGGACCUUUAACAACGUCAGUAACAGUUAGUGAUGUGGAGACAUUUGCAUCGUUUGUUCCAAAAACGCUCGACCGAAAUGAUUCAAACGUGUUUUCACUGACGAUAAACGGACGUGAUCGGGAGUGAGCUUGUAUGAAUUUAUAGCAUGUGAAAGAAAAAAUACAUUUCCACUGUUACAGACCAAACGAUCGCUAAUAGACUGAGCAGAGCCAAACUACCAUCGAACUCCAGACUCCUCCGCUGAUGGUAAUUUGACUCGUUUAGCGAAUGAACACCUGAUAUCUGAUGGGGCGAAAGGUUCACGUGGAUCAUAAAUAAUCCAGUUUAAGUUCCUCCCUUCAGACAGAAGCACAGAAACGUUAGUUUAGUGUCAUGGCGUAUUAUCUCGGCAGGAAAAAAUACCCCAGCAGAGAUUAAUUGUGGGCUUUUAGCAUGGCCCCAGAGGGAGCGCGAUGGCGUCAGAAUCUAAACGUAAUGGAGGUAAUUAUCCUGAUGAAGACUUCAUUCCUCUCCACAUAUUCAUGGAUCUCUGCCCAGAUGAAAUUGAAUAUCUCUGCCUUGAUCGCUUUCUCCUAAAGUUGCACAUUUAUUUAGUCACAUUUUUCUUAAAGGUUCUGAGCAAAAGGUUCAAAGUUCUGAAGAUACUUUGUAGCGUUAUCGCUCAUUUUGAAGUGAAAUGGGGACAUUAGCUCCUCAUAAAUCAAACCGCUCUUUUUUCUCAUGGGUUAUUUGCUUUUCUUUAAGUUUGCGAUGGGUCAGAACUUUGUUUUCGCAGUAAGAACAGGAAAAGACUCCGUUUGCCAGAAAGCUGUUGAUUUAUCUCGGAGGAGGAGGAGGAACCGUUUCUGAGCACAGCUCCCCCCCCCCCCCCCGAAAUCUGAAAUGAUUAUCUCUGGUGACCAAAUCUAUCACAGGUGUGUCAGAAGUUUGGCGCCGUCAGGUCUGACAUAUUCGUGUUAAACAUAAAGCAGACGAUUACUGAAGAGCAACUAGACCGAUGUCAGACGUCACAAGGCGACGAAUGUGAUACACUAAAGACAUAAAAACACUGAAACGAGGCGGCAGACAUCUGAUUAACUGUGGAAUGCGACGCGACUUCAUGAACAUGCAAAACUAAA